CCUGCGGAGGGAUCAUUACAAGAAGCCGAAAGGCUACUUCAAACCAUCGCGAACUCGUCCAAGUUGCUUCGGCGGCGCGGCACCCCUUAACGGGGGCGCCGCAGCCCUGCCUCUCCGGAGGUUCGGGGCGCCCGCCGGAGGUACGAAACUCUGUAUUAUAGUGGCAUCUCUGAGUAUAAAACAAAUAAGUUAAAACUUUCAACAACGGAUCUCUUGGUUCUGGCAUCGAUGAAGAACGCAGCGAAAUGCGAUAAGUAAUGUGAAUUGCAGAAUUCAGUGAAUCAUCGAAUCUUUGAACGCACAUUGCGCCCGGUAGUACUCUACCGGGCAUGCCUGUUCGAGCGUCAUUUCAACCCUCAAGCCCUGCUUGGUGUUGGGGCCCUACGGCUGCCGUAGGCCCUGAAAGGAAGUGGCGGGCUCGCUACAACUCCGAGCGUAGUAAUUCAUUAUCUCGCUAGGGAGGUUGCGGCGUGCUCCUGCCGUUAAAGACCCAUC
rnacentral:rRNA from 1 species